rnacentral:rRNA from 1 species
CUUGCACUUCUGACGUUAGCGGCGAACGGGUGAGUAACACGUAAGGAAUCUACCUAUAAGCGGGGGAUAACAUUCGGAAACGGGUGCUAAUACCGCAUAAUAUCUUCUUCCGCAUGGAAGAAGAUUGAAAGACGGCUCUGCUGUCACUUAUAGAUGACCUUGCGGUGCAUUAGUUAGUUGGUGGGGUAACGGCCUACCAAGACGAUGAUGCAUAGCCGACCUGAGAGGGUGAUCGGCCACAUUGGGACUGAGACACGGCCCAAACUCCUACGGGAGGCAGCAGUAGGGAAUCUUCCGCAAUGGGCGAAAGCCUGACGGAGCAAUGCCGCGUGAGUGAAGAAGGCCUUCGGGUCGUAAAACUCUGUUAUAAGAGAAGAACAAAUUGUAGAGUAACUGCUACAGUCUUGACGGUAUCUUAUCAGAAAGCCACGGCUAACUACGUGCCAGCAGCCGCGGUAAUACGUAGGUGGCAAGCGUUGUCCGGAUUUAUUGGGCGUAAA